rnacentral:rRNA from 1 species
UACGCAGGGUGCGAGCGUUGUCCGGAAUUAUUGGGCGUAAAGAGCUUGUAGGCGGUUUGUCGCGUCUGCUGUGAAAAUCCGGGGCUCAACCCCGGACUUGCAGUGGGUACGGGCAGACUAGAGUGUGGUAGGGGAGACUGGAAUUCCUGGUGUAGCGGUGGAAUGCGCAGAUAUCAGGAGGAACACCGAUGGCGAAGGCAGGUCUCUGGGCCGACUACUGACGCUGAGAAGCGAAAGCAUGGGGAGCGAACAGG